rnacentral:rRNA from 1 species
AUGGCGGCGGCGGCGGCGGCGGCGGACACUUCCGCGGCUUCCACGACCGGGCUCGCGCUCUCGGAGGCGAGCAUCAACUGGGAGAGGUUGGACAAGACAAAGUUUCAUGUCAUUGGAGCAAUCCUAUUUACGGCCCAGCAAGGUGUUCUGCACCCAACAGCUGUUGUGAAGACUAGAAUGCAGGUUGCCGAAGGAGGACUUUCACAUAUGUCUGGCUUUGUCGUUUUUAGAAAGAUAUUGAGGAGUGAUGGCAUCCCUGGUGUUUUCAGAGGAUUUGGCACCAGUGCAGUUGGAGCUCUGCCUGGACGAAUCUUGGCUCUAACUUCACUAGAGAUAUCCAAAGAAAUGGCAUUUAAAUACUCUGAGCAUUUCGAUAUGUCCGAGGCAUCAAGGAUUGCUGUUGCUAAUGGUGUAGCAGGCUUAGUGUCAAGUACCUUUUCAAGUUCAUAUUCUGUACCCCUAGAUGUGGUUUGUCAGAGACUCAUGGUUCAGGGAUUGCCAGGGAUGCAAACAUAUAGAGGCCCAUUUGAUGUGAUAAAUAAGGUUGUCAGGAGUGAAGGCCUCCGGGGCCUUUACCGAGGUUUUGGAAUUACCCUUUUAACUCAAUCACCAGCUUCUGCCCUUUGGUGGAGUUCAUAUGGUGGGGCUCAACAUGCUAUCUGGAGGAGCUUGGGCUACGGAAAUGGUACGCAGAAGAAACCCUCCCAUACAGAACUUGUUGCUGUGCAAGCAACAGCUGGAACAAUUGCUGGAGCUUGCUCAUCGAUUAUCACUACACCAAUAGAUACCAUCAAGACCCGGCUUCAGGUAAUGGACAACUACGGGAGUGGAAGGCCAUCCGUCAUGAAAACUACGAGGCUGCUCCUGCGAGAAGAUGGCUGGAGAGGUUUAUACCGAGGGUUUGGACCACGCUUUCUUAACAUGUCUCUUUGGGGUACAUCAAUGAUUGUCACAUACGAGCUAAUAAAAAGACUUUCUGUGAAACCUGAACAAUGA